rnacentral:tRNA from 1 species
UCCCGUGUGGUGCAAACGGUUAAUACAUUUGGUUGCUAACCAAAAGGUUGGUGGUUCGAGUCCACGUAGUGGUG